AUUGAACGCUGGCGGCAUGCUUUACACAUGCAAGUCGAACGGCAGCGCGGGCUUCGGCCUGGCGGCGAGUGGCGAACGGGUGAGUAAUACAUCGGAACGUGCCCAGUAGUGGGGGAUAGCUCGGCGAAAGCCGGAUUAAUACCGCAUACGACCUGAGGGUGAAAGCGGGGGAUCUCCGGCCCUCGCCCUAUUGGAGCGGCCGAUGGCAGAUUAGCUAGUUGGUGGGGUAAAGGCCUACCAAGGCGACGAUCUGUAGCUGGUCUGAGAGGACGACCAGCCACACUGGGACUGAGACACGGCCCAGACUCCUACGGGAGGCAGCAGUGGGGAAUUUUGGACAAUGGGCGAAAGCCUGAUCCAGCAAUGCCGCGUGUGUGAUGAAGGCCUUCGGGUUGUAAAGCACUUUUGGCGGGAACGAAAAGGACUGUGCCAAUACCACGGUUCGAUGACGGUACCCGCAGAAUAAGCACCGGCUAACUACGUG
rnacentral:rRNA from 1 species